UUUCAAGAUUCUAAGAGCAAACGGUGGAUGCCUUGGCAUCUGGAGCCGAAGAAGGACGUAUAAAUCUGCGAUAAGCCUCGGGGAGCUGAUAAUAGAGCUUUGAUCCGAGGAUCUCCGAAUGGGGAAACCCCGCCAGGCCCUUUGGGCGACCUGGUGACUCCCGCCUGAAUAUAUAGGGCGGGUAGAGGGAACGUGGGGAAGUGAAACAUCUCAGUACCCACAGGAAGAGAAAGCAAAAGCGAUUCCGUUAGUAGUGGCGAGCGAAACCGGAAGAGGCCAAACCGAUCAUGUGUGAUAUCCGGUAGGAGUUGCAUGGUCGGGGUUGCGGGACUUUCCGUACAGUUCUACCGAGCUGUGAGGGCAAUGAGCGCGAUAUAGACGAAUGGUCUUGAAAGGCCAGUCAUAGAGGGUGCGAACCCCGUAGUCGAAAUGUCGUCGCCUGUCCGGAGAGUAUCCCAAGUAGCACGGGGCCCGAGAAAUCCCGUGUGAAUCUGUCAGGACCACCUGAUAAGCCUAAAUACUCCCAGAUGACCGAUAGCGGACAAGUACCGUGAGGGAAAGGUGAAAAGUACCCCGGGAGGGGAGUGAAAUAGUACCUGAAACCGUUUGCUUACAAACCGUUGGAGCACCCUUGUUCGUGUGACAGCGUGCCUUUUGAAGAAUGAGCCUGCGAGUUAGUGAUAUGUGGCGAGGUUAACCCGUGUGGGGCAGCCGUAGCGAAAGCGAGUCUUAAUAGGGCGUAUGAGUCGCAUGUUCUAGACCCGAAGCGAAGUGAUCUAUCCAUGGCCAGGUUGAAGCGACGGUAAGACGUCGUGGAGGACCGAACCCACUUCAGUUGAAAAUGGAGGGGAUGAGCUGUGGAUAGGGGUGAAAGGCCAAUCAAACUUCGUGAUAGCUGGUUCUCUCCGAAAUGCAUUUAGGUGCAGCGUUGCGUGUUUCUUGCCGGAGGUAGAGCUACUGGAUGGACGAUGGGCCCCAAAAGGUUACUGACUUCAGCCAAACUCCGAAUGCCGGUAAGUGAGAGCGCAGCAGUGAGACGGUGGGGGAUAAGCUUCAUCGUCGAGAGGGAAACAACCCAGACCACCAUCUAAGGUCCCUAAGCGCGUGCUAAGUGGGAAAGGAUGUGGAGUUGCAUAGACAACCAGGAGGUUGGCUUAGAAGCAGCCACCCUUGAAAGAGUGCGUAAUAGCUCACUGGUCAAGUGAUUCCGCGCCGACAAUGUAACGGGGCUCAAGCACGCCACCGAAGUUGUGGCAUUUAUAUUAUAGGCAGGCCUUCGUGGUCCAGCCGUAUGGAUGGGUAGGAGAGCGUCGUGUGGCCAGCGAAGCGGCGGUGUGAACCAGCCGUGGAGGCCACACGAGUGAGAAUGCAGGCAUGAGUAGCGAAAGACGGGUGAGAAACCCGUCCUCCGAAAGACCAAGGGUUCCAGGGCCAGGCUAAUCCGCCCUGGGUAAGUCGGGACCUAAGGCGAGGCCGACAGGCGUAGUCGAUGGACAACGGGUUGAUAUUCCCGUACCGAUGAAGAACCGCCCAAGACAAUCCAGUAAUGCUAAGUGUCUGAAUCCUUGAUUCGAUCCCUUCGGGGUGACGGUCUUGGCCUAGCACACGACCCUACGCUGGGGCGUUUAGCGUAUUAACAGGUGUGACGCAGGAAGGUAGCUGAGCCGGGCGAUGGUUGUCCCGGUCUAAGGAUGUAGGGCAGAAGAUAGGCAAAUCCGUCUUCUAUGUAGCCUGAGACCCGAUGGGUAGUCCUCACGGACGAAAUCAGUGAUCCUAUGCUGCCAAGAAAAGCAUCGACGCGAGGUUCCAAUCGCCCGUACCCCAAACCGACUCAGGUGGUCAGGUAGAGAAUACUAAGGAGAUCGAGAGAAUCGUGGUUAAGGAACUCGGCAAAAUGCCCCCGUAACUUCGGGAGAAGGGGGGGCCUGAGGCGUGUAGGGAUUUACUCCUGAAGCGUUUGAAGGCCGCAGAGACCAGUGGGAAGCGACUGUUUACUAAAAACACAGGUCCGCGCUAAGUCGCAAGACGAUGUAUACGGACUGACGCCUGCCCGGUGCUGGAAGGUUAAGAGGAACGGUUAGCACGCAAGUGCGAAGCUGAGAAUUUAAGCCCCAGUAAACGGCGGUGGUAACUAUAACCAUCCUAAGGUAGCGAAAUUCCUUGUCGGGUAAGUUCCGACCUGCACGAAUGGCGUAACGACUUCCCAGCUGUCUCAACCGCGAACUCGGCGAAAUUGCACUACGAGUAAAGAUGCUCGUUACGCGCAGCAGGACGGAAAGACCCCGUGACCUUUACUACAGCUUGGUAUUGGUGUUUGGUGUGGCUUGUGUAGGAUAGGUGGGAGACUGUGAAGCUCGGACGCUAGUUCGGGUGGAGUCAUUGUUGAAAUACCACUCUGGUCACUCUGGAUAUCUAACUUUGAACCGUAAUCCGGUUCAGGGACAGUGCCUGGUGGGUAGUUUAACUGGGGCGGUUGCCUCCUAAAAAGUAACGGAGGCGCCCAAAGGUUCCCUCAACCUGGUUGGUAAUCAGGUGUCGAGUGUAAGUGCACAAGGGAGCUUGACUGUGAGACUGGCAAGUCGAGCAGGGACGAAAGUCGGGACUAGUGAUCCGGCAGUGGCUCGUGGAAGCGCUGUCGCUCAACGGAUAAAAGGUACCUCGGGGAUAACAGGCUGAUCUUGCCCAAGAGUCCAUAUCGACGGCAUGGUUUGGCACCUCGAUGUCGGCUCGUCGCAUCCUGGGGCUGGAGUAGGUCCCAAGGGUUGGGCUGUUCGCCCAUUAAAGCGGUACGCGAGCUGGGUUUAGAACGUCGUGAGACAGUUCGGUCCCUAUCCGCUGCGCGCGUAGGAAAUUUGAGAAGAUCUAUCCCUAGUACGAGAGGACCGGGAUGGACGAACCUCUGGUGUGUCAGUUGUUCCGCCAGGAGCACCGCUGAUUAGCUACGUUCGGAACGGAUAACCGCUGAAAGCAUCUAAGCGGGAAGCCGGCUUCGAGAUGAGAUUUCCAUCCCUUUUAGGGUGAAGGCUCCCGGCUAGACUACCGGGUUGAUAGGCAGGAUGUGGAAGCGAGGACUAAAGACUCGUGGAGCUAACCUGUACUAAUAAGCCGAUAUCUUGAAAAC
rfam:Clavibacter michiganensis subsp. sepedonicus complete genome